rnacentral:tRNA from 1 species
AGGGAUAUAGUUUAACGGUAGAACUACGGUCUCCAAAACCGUCGAUGUGGGUUCGAUUCCUACUAUCCCUG